rnacentral:rRNA from 1 species
GACGAACGCUGGCGGCGUGCUUAACACAUGCAAGUCGAGCGGUAAGGCCCUUUCGGGGGUACACGAGCGGCGAACGGGUGAGUAACACGUGGGUGACCUGCCCUCAGCUCUGGGAUAAGCCUGGGAAACUGGGUCUAAUACUGGAUAUGACUCCACGGUGCAUGUCGUGGGGUGGAAAGCCUUGUGCGGCUGAGGAUGGGCCCGCGGCCUAUCAGCUUGUUGGUGGGGUGAUGGCCUACCAAGCGACGACGGGUAGCCGGCCUGAGAGGGCGACCGGGCCACACUGGGACUGAGACACGGCCCAGACUCCUACGGGAGGCGAGCAGUGGGGAAUCUUGCGCAAUGGGCGAAAGCCUGACGCAGCGACGCCGCGUG